rnacentral:rRNA from 1 species
GAUGAACGCUGGCGGCGUGCCUAAUACAUGCAAGUCGAGCGAACGGACGAGAAGCUUGCUUCUCUGAUGUUAGCGGCGGACGGGUGAGUAACACGUGGAUAACCUACCUAUAAGACUGGGAUAACUUCGGGGAACCGGAGCUAAUACCGGAUGAUAUUUUGAACCGCAUGGUUCAAAAGUGAAAGACGGUCUUGCUGUCACUUAUAGAUGGAUCCGCGCUGCAUUAGCUAGUUGGUAAGGUAACGGCUUACCAAGGCAACGAUGCAUAGCCGACCUGAGAGGGUGAUCGGCCACACUGGAACUGAGACACGGUCCAGACUCCUACGGGAGGCAGCAGUAGGGAAUCUUCCGCAAUGGGCGAAAGCCUGACGGAGCAACGCCGCGUGAGUGAUGAAGGUCUUCGGAUCGUAAAACUCUGUUAUUAGGGAAGAACAUAUGUGUAAGUAACUGUGCACAUCUUGACGGUACCUAAUCAGAAGGCCACGGCUAACUACGUG